UAUUUGAGAGGCAUUUCCUAGAGUGCUAUUUUUCUCCCAUUGGACUGCUCUUUUUUACAUAAGGGAUGCAAAAUUCUAGUUUUUUUUUUCUCAUUAUCUUCAGCUUUGAUCAAGUCGAAUUAAUCUUCAUGCUACUUGAGGCUUUACUUUUACAGAUUCAAGUAUUGAAGAAGAAGAUGGCAUUUUUGUGUAGAAUAUGAACUAUAUGAAGAUGUCGAUUGGUUGAAAGAAAAGAUUGAUACUUCAUCCCUUAUGCCGAAGAUGGCGAUAUGAUAAUGUGCUAGUGUCGGUUGGGCAUUGUUCAAGCCUUUUCCUUGACGCAUAUUACUUCUUGCCGUCACGACUUGUAGUCUACUUUUGGGAUAUAUAUGUUUAAGGGUGGGCCUAGAGUCCAAUGAAUUUCCUUCAUUUUAAAGUUAACUUGUAUAGUACCUGAUGUUGAUGAAGUACAAUUUUAUUUUUGGUUUUGUAUGGAAUGGUGUGACUAUAUUUCUACUGAAUGGGUAUUAAUUAGAUUAUCCAGUUCUUUUUC